UCUCCGUAGGUGAACCUGCGGAGGGAUCAUUACUGAGUGAGGGCUUCGGUCCGACCUCCAACCCUUUGUGAACCAAACUUGUUGCCUCGGGGGGCGACCCGGCCCUCGUGCCGGGCGACCCCGGAGGUCCAUCAAACUCUGCAUCCUUGCGUCGGAGUAUUGAAAGCAAAUCAAUCAAAACUUUUAACAACGGAUCUCUUGGUUCUGGCAUCGAUGAAGAACGCAGC
rnacentral:misc_RNA from 1 species